GGACAUAAGGGCUGGUUGUAAUUACCAGCUGUGGGAGGGAGUGUGCAGCAGUGGUUAGUGAAGGGGCCUGGAAAUAAGGACUGCUGGGUCCCAUCCAUGGCUCUGACACUUGGUGUGACCCUGAGCCAGUAGCUUCCCCUCCCCAGGCCUGUUUCUCAUCGGUAGGGUUGGGGUCGCAGUCCCUACAGCCCAGGGGGGUUGGGAGGCUCCAGGAAGGUGUGUAAAGUGCUGGGAUGUCAGGCGCUGGGAGGCACUGCCACCCCCACAUUAGGGCAGUGUUCUGCACCCCCUGCUGCUGGCUGAGUUUCUCUAUCCCUUGGCAAUAAGACAGACGCUUGUUUUCACAGCCAGUUGAUCGCCCAGUGUCAUCACCCUGCCUGCUGGCUGGGCAGGGUAACUCCUCAGGUCACCACCUCUUAAGCCUGCCUUAGGCUUGGAGAGUGAGGAGGAGGGCGAGAGACAGCUGGCGACCCUGAACAUCCGCCAUCCAUCACUCCAUCACCAAGAGCAACACCUUUUGUUGGAGUGGCCCCAGCUCCCCAAGUGAUCCAGAUCGCUGUGUGCAACUGCCCUGUCCUCAUGUGGCUCGCUACAAGCUCUCACACAGCCCUGUCACGAGAGGAGAUAAAGCAGCAGCCUGCUUGGUUGCCUAGCUGUGGAAUCUUCCCCUCCAGAGACAGCGUGGGCAGCAGGACCAGCCGAUAACGUCUCAUGUUCAAUCCAGCUCAGCUCUUUCAAAACACAAUAAACAAACUCGGAAUCCACUAUCCUGAGUUCACAAAGCAGCGCUUCACGCUGGGCAGAGCUCUGGGAACGCUGUUCAAAGUGCCUGGCGGAUUAAAAACCCCUCAGUGCUCGGACCAGAGCCUUUACUUCGAAACACCCCUUGCGCAGUCUUGAAAGACCCACUGUGGUCUGCAGACCCCAGUUUGAGAACCGCUGUCAUAGAAUCUGUACACCAUGUGGGUGAGGAGGUUCCACUAAGUAUUGUGACCAGGUGGGUAUGUGUGAGAACGCACAGAAACUGGGAACAGACAAGAACAGAGAGAGAGAGAGACAAGAAGAUGCCUGUAACCAGAGUGUGAUGCUGGAAAAAGCCAGAGAGAGAGGCUUUGGGGUUUGCUGGACUA